UACGUAGGGGGCUAGCGUUGUCCGGAAUCAUUGGGCGUAAAGCGCGUGUAGGCGGCCCGGUAAGUCCGCUGUGAAAGUCGGGGGCUCAACCCUCGGAUGCCGGUGGAUACUGUCGGGCUCGAGUGCGGAAGAGGCGAGUGGAAUUCCUGGUGUAGCGGUGAAAUGCGCAGAUAUCAGGAGGAACACCAAUUGCGAAGGCAGCUCGCUGGGACGUUACUGACGCUGAGGCGCGAAAGCGUGGGGAGCAAACAGG
rnacentral:rRNA from 1 species